rnacentral:rRNA from 1 species
UAGGUGAACCUGCGGAGGAAUCAUU